GCCAGGUGUGGUGGCACGUGCCUGUAGUCCCAGCUACUUGGGAGGCUGAGGCAGGAGGAUUGCUUGAACCUGGGAGGUCGAGGCUGCAGUGAGCCCAGAUGGUGCCACUGCACUCUAGCCUGGGGAACAAAGCGAGACCCUGUCUCAA
ensembl:misc_RNA Metazoa_SRP Metazoan signal recognition particle RNA